AUGUUGGUUAUAAGAGACAGGAGCAGUCUGAGCGAAAUGAUAAUUGUAAUAGUCAUAAUCAAGAACCAGGUUGAGGUCAGGGAUCUUUGCCGAUGCCCCCCUUCUUCCUGGUCUGCCUUCCCCAUUCCUUCUCGUCCUUCAAGUCACACCUGUGCUGUGACCUCCAUAGCUCUCCGUGAUCUCUGGCAGAGUCCCAUGAAGGUCAAAACAGGCAAGACAAGCGUGAAACAAGAAGGGAAUCAUCUUUCCACAAGUCUGGAAAAUUCCACACAUGGAAUGGCAUUUGAAGAGUGGUUGUAGGAAGACCAAGACGGCCCUCUGCUAAAAGCGAAGCUGCUGGGAGGCAGGAGCAGGACACAUCGUGCCUUCCCUGGGGACAGGCCUUGUGCUGCUCCCCCACAACCUGAAGAUAGCUGCUCACAUCUGCUCCGUUCCUCCCCCACUGAGUGCACCAUCUGUCCCUUUGACAGGAGAAGAGAAGCCAGAGAGGAAGGCACAGAGGAACAGCCACAGACAGAACCCCACAAGGGACUGCAGGGAUAACCCCGCGUCUGAGGAAUAAACCCUGGGAAAAUGCCUCAUCCUAAGUUGGUCGAUGUUAAGCGAGGGAGAGGGAUAAAAACAAAAUCUUUCCUGUAAUUCUGAAGCUUGUCUCUAAAGUAAUCCCUUGUGCUGAGGUCCUGAGAGCUGGAAGGCAGGUAAUUAUAAAGACAAGGAGGCUUAAGGAAAAUCUGAAGAGAGAGAAGGGCAGAAUGAGAUUUUACCACCAUAAUACAUGGUGCAUUUAUCUAUUGAUGCAUCAGAAAUUCGGAAAGAGACAAGGCACAGUGGCUCAUGCCUGUAAUCCCAGCACUUUGGGAGGCUCAAGGGGAGGAUCCCUUGAGCCCAAGAGUUUGAGGCUGCAGCCAGCUAUGAUUGCACCAUUGUACUCCAGCCUGGACAACAGAAUGAGAUCCUGUCUCUAAAAAAAAAAGUAGAAAGAUGCAGGUUAGCUGAUGAGCAUCUGACAGGAACUGCAGCCAUUUAGGAGGAAAAAGAAAUCCAGUGUUCUAUGGUCGACCAAGAAGCAGCUACAUUUAUUCAUAAAAGUAAAUAUGCAAAUAGAUAUUGAGUUAUGGUAAGAGAACAGCCGGGCACAGUGGCUCAUUCCUGUAAUCCCAGCAUUUUGGGAGGCUGAGGCAGAAGGGUCACUUGAACCCAGGGGUUUGAGGCCAGCCUAAGCAACAUAAUGAGACCUAAUCUCU
rnacentral:lncRNA from 1 species